UUUUGUUAGUUUUCUGAUUUUGUUUCUAAUUAAAAAGUUAAAUUUCUUAAGAUAAUGAUUGAUGUUUGCCCUAAUCUUAAAGCUAUAUAUAUUGUUGAUCGGCCAGAGGAUUAGGUAUUAUUUUUCUGUGGCCAUUAGAUAGUUUUCACCGUUAUGGUUUUUUUAUAUAGCUACUACAAUUCUGAUGAAUCGAGUUGUUUGUCAUGCAAAUAUUGUUUUCAUGGACCUUUAAAGGUCGUGUGCAUAUUGUUUGUGUUGUUUGUUUUAUUUUUUUGCAUUAUUCGAUGAUUUAUUGUUUUGCUAAUUUGGUGUUUUUGGUGUGUGUUUCAGUUUUGUAUAACGUGGGAGGUUCCAUCGACAAAGCUCUCUGACGAAGGUGGUGUUGACGAGCAAAGAGCGAGGUUUGGGGAGGUACUCGAUGAACUCAUAUCUCGGUUUGUGUCGGUUUAUUGGAAACAGGUAACCGCUGGUGUUUCCUUCUCCCGAAGAUGCACGAAUGAUAUGUUUUAUUUUAAUAAG